rnacentral:tRNA from 1 species
AAAAAUUUAGUUAAAACUAUAACACUAGCUUGUCAAGCUAUAAUUAUUUAUUUAAAAAUAAUUUUUU